UUGUAAAAAAAGACCUGCUUCUCCUGGUGUUGUAUCCUUGCUGGACGGAGAUGGUGAAGAUGCUGGAGGCGGCCAAGCCAGCACAGUAUGGGGUAGAUUUGACAAGGGACAAGAAAAGAAGGCCACCUCCCCUCCAGACAUUCCGAUCAGAGAAAAGAGACAAUUUGAAGCCAACCCAAAGAGACGUCCAAGACCUUGUCUGGGCUGCCUAUCUGUAAUAUCAGCUAAAAAGGAGGCUCCUGUAACAAUUCCUAGGAUGAAACCGUUGGCCAUAGCAACAGGAAAAACUGAUUUAGCACACUUUGAAAAACAAUAUUGAAAAUAUUAAAACAAUCAGCUCUAUCACAAUGACCUCAGUGAAACCCAGCGUGGUUGCGGGAUGAUACAAAAUCCAUUGUAAUGAACAAUAAGUGAAAUGCCGGGGGUCCCGAGUGGCGCAUCCAGUAAAGGCACUCCACGUGCAGUGCAGGAUGUGCCCUAUAGUCUGGACAUCGCGAGUUCGAGUCCAGGCUAUUCCUUUGCCGACCGAGGAUGGGAGCUCCCAGGGGGCGGCGCUCAAUUGGCCCACGCUUCGGAGGACAGCGUGUGUUUGUCUUCGCCCUCCAGAGUCAGCCCUGGGGUGGUAGCGGUGAGCUGAGCAUAAUAAAAUAAUUGGCCAUUCCAAAUUGGGGAGAAAAUAAUAAAAAAUAAUUGGCAACGACUAAAUUUAUAAAAAAAAAAAAAAAAAAAGUGAAAUGCUUCAGUUUUUACAAGCUUGAUUAAUAUGCCCCUAUUUACCAGAUAGAGGGGUCUACUAUUCAAUGGUUCUAUAGAAUGUUGACACACGCUGAUGAAAAAAUAGCACCAUCUAGAUUUCUUCCUUAUCAAGCAACUAAAUCGGACACCAUAUAUCUUGUGAUCGUAGCAGAUUUUGCCCAUUUUGAGGAUAAGUGAUACCAAACAUUAAACAAACUACAUGGGAAGUUUUAUUAAAAGGAUUCUCCCCUU